UGGGGAAUAUUGCACAAUGGGCGCAAGCCUGAUGCAGCCAUGCCGCGUGUGUGAAGAAGGCCUUCGGGUUGUAAAGCACUUUCAGCGGGGAGGAAGGCGGUGAGGUUAAUAACCUCACCGAUUGACGUUACCCGCAGAAGAAGCACCGGCUAACUCCGUGCCAGCAGCCGCGGUAAUACGGAGGGUGCAAGCGUUAAUCGGAAUUACUGGGCGUAAAGCGCACGCAGGCGGUUGAUUGAGUCAGAUGUGAAAUCCCCGGGCUUAACCCGGGAAUUGCAUCUGAUACUGGUCAGCUAGAGUCUUGUAGAGGGUGGUAGAAUUCCAUGUGUAGCGGUGAAAUGCGUAGAGAUGUGGAGGAAUACCGGUGGCGAAGGCGGCCCCCUGGACAAAGACUGACGCUCAGGUGCGAAAGCGUGGGGAGCAAACAGG
rnacentral:rRNA from 1 species